UGUUCUUCGAACAUGUCUUUAUAUUCUGUUUCAUAUGUCAUGUCAUAAUCAAAAAUUGAAUUGAAAAAAUGAAUUUUUGGGACGCCGUACUUGUGCAAAUUACAUUUGUGAAUAGUGAAAAGGGACAGACAUCAUAAAAAUGUAUAAUCUAAUUGUGAAUGAGUUUGACAUGAAGGAAGAAAAAUGUGAACUUCCGUAUAUACUAACACAAAGAUUAGA
ensembl:ncRNA T19C4.18 ncRNA